rnacentral:rRNA from 1 species
CAGUCGCCACGGUAAUACGAGGGGGGCAAGCGUUGUUCGGAUUUAUUGGGCGUAAAGGGUGCGUAGGCGGUUUGAUAAGUCUUGUGUGAAAUCUCUGGGCUCAACCCAGAGUCUGCACGAGAAACUGUCGGGCUUGAGUAUUGGAGAGGUGAGUGGAAUUUCCGGUGUAGCGGUGAAAUGCGUAGAUAUCGGAAGGAACACCUGUGGCGAAAGCGGCUCACUGGACAAUAACUGACGCUGAUGCACGAAGGCUAGGGGAGCAAACAGGAUUAGAUACCCGAGUAGUCCCUGUCUCUUAUAC